GGAUUAGGCAUGCAAGUCGUACGUGAUCCUUGCUUCGGUGAGGUGAAAGUGGCGAACGGGUGAGUAAUGCAUAGCUAACCUACCCCCGGCUCUGGGAUAACCAGGAGAAAUCUUGGCUAAUACCGGAUCGGUUCGCGGGACCGCAUGGUCCUGCGAGUAAAGGAGGCCUCUUAACAAUGCUUCCGGCUGGGGACGGGACUAUGUCCUAUCAGCUAGUUGGUAGGGUAAUGGCCUACCAAGGCGAUGACGGGUAGCCGACCUGAGAGGGUGACCGGCCACACUGGGACUGAGAUACUGCCCAGACUCCUACGGGAGGCUGCAGUCGAGAAUCUUCCGCAAUGGGGAAACCCUGACGGAGCGACGCCGCGUGCGGGAUGAAGGCCUUCGGGUUGUAAACCGCUGUCACGGAUUAUGAAGGGGCCGGCGUUAACAGCGCUGGACUUUGACAAAGGUCCGGAAGGAAGCCACGGCUAACUCUGUGCCAGCAGCCGCGGUAAGACAGAGGUGGCGACCGUUGUUCGGAAUCACUGGGCAUAAAGCGCGUGUAGGCGGCAUAGCAAGUCGGGUGUGAAAUCCCUCGGCCCAACCGAGGAAUUGCGCUCGAAACUGCCGUGCUUGAGGACGGGAGGGGAGUCUGGAAUUCCUGGUGGAGCGGUGAAAUGCGUUGAUAUCAGGAGGAACACCGGCGGCGAAGGCGAGACUCUGGCCCGUUACUGACGCUGAGACGCGAAAGCUAGGGGAGCAAACGGGAUUAGAUACCCCGGUAGUCCUAGCCGUAAACGAUGGGCACUAAGUAGAGGGGUUUU
rnacentral:rRNA from 1 species